rnacentral:piRNA from 1 species
UGAAUUGUUUUUUAACACACCAGGCUUCCC